rfam:Moniliophthora roreri strain MCA 2952 kmer90.93465, whole genome shotgun sequence.
GGUCCAAUAGUGUAGUGGUUAUCACAAUGGAUUCUGAUAGUCUUGCUAGAUCGUGUAUUCCAUUAACCCAGGUUCGAGUCCUGGUUGGACCU